GUGCCAGAGGAGCGAAAUUCCAGCUCCAAUAGCGUAUAUUAAAGUUGUGAGAAGAAAAAGCUCGUAGUUGAACCUUGGGCCUGGCUGGCCGGUCCGCCUCACCGCGUGCACUGGUCCGGCCCGGCCUUUCCCUCUGUGGAACCCCAUACCCUUCACUGGGCGUGGCGGGGAAACAGGACAUUUACUUUGAAAAAAUUAGAGUGCUCCAGGCAGGCCUAUGCUCGAAUACAUUAGCAUGGAAUAAUAAAAUAGGACGCGCGGUUCUAUUUUGUUGGUUUAUAGGACCGCCGUAAUGAUUAAUAGGGGACAGUCGGGGGCAUCAGUAUUCAACUGUCAGAGGUGAAAUUCUUGGAUCAGUUGAAGACUAACUACUGCGAAAGCAUUUGCCAAGGAUGUUUUCAUUAAUCAGGAACGAAAGUUAGGGGGAUCGAAGACGAUCAGAUACCGUCGUAGUCUUAACCAUAAACUAUGCCGACUAGGGGAUCCGGACGGUGUUAUUCAUGACCCGUUCGGCACCCUUACGAAGAAAUCAAAAGUGCUUUGGGCUCCAGGGGGGAGUAUUGGUCGCAAGGGCUUGAAACUUUAAAAGAAAAUUGACGGGAAGGGGCACCCACCAGGGGGGGGAGGCCUGCGGCUUUAAUUUUGACUUCAACACGGGGAAAACUCACCCAGGUUCCAGAACACAUUAAGGAUUGGACAAGAUUGAGAGCUCUUUCUUGAUUUUGGGGGGUGGGGGGUGCAUGGCCGUUUCUUUAGUUGGGGGGGGGGACUUGUCCUGGCUUAAUUG
rnacentral:rRNA from 1 species